rnacentral:rRNA from 1 species
AGAGUUUGAUCAUGGCUCAGAAUGAAUGCUUGCGGUAUGCUUAACACAUGCAAGUCAGACGUGAACUUGUAUUAAGUUCAACGUGGCGUACGGGUGCGUAACACGUGGGAAUUUACAUAGUAGUUUGGAAUAUUUAUAUUGUCUUCGGAUGAGAAAACAUGGGUUAAAACUAUGUGUAAUAAUACCAAAUAACAAAUAAAGAUUGAUCGCUAUUAAAUAAGCCUGCGUAGAAUUAGGUAGUUGGUAGAGUAAAAGCCUACCAAGCCAACGAUUCAUAGCUGGUCUGAGAGGACGACCAGCCACACUGGGACUGAGAACGGCCCAGACUUCCACGGAAGGCUGCAGUGAGGAAUAUUGGACAAUGGGCUAACGCCUGAUCCAGCAAUAUCGCGUGAGUGAUGAAGGCCAUUUUGGUUGUAAAACUCUUUCGUUGAGGAUGAUAAUGACAUACUCAAAAGAGC